rnacentral:snRNA from 10 species
AUACUUAACUGGCAAGGGAAAUAACAUGAUCAUUAAAGGUGGAUUUUUCAGGGUGAGGUUUGUCUCUUGCAUUGUGGAUGUGCUGACCCCUGUGGUUUUCUACAAAUGUGGGAAACUUAAUUGCAUAAUUUGUGGUAGUGGGGACUAUGUUGGUUCUCUCCCCU